GGGUUAAGUCCGCAACGAGCGCAACCCUUGCCUUUAGUUGCCAGCAGUUCGGCUGGGCACUCUAAAGGGACUGCCGGUGUUAAACCGGAGGAAGGUGGGGAUGACGUCAAGUCCUCAUGGCCUUUAUGACCAGGGCUACACACGUACUACAAUGGCCGAUACAAAGGGCAGCGACACUGCGAGGUGAAGCCAAUCCCGUAAAAUCGGUCUCAGUCCGGAUUGGAGUCUGCAACUCGACUCCAUGAAGUUGGAAUCGCUAGUAAUCGUGGAUCAGCAUGCCACGGUGAAUACGUUCCCGGGCCUU
rnacentral:rRNA from 1 species